CCGGUCCUCCGGCAGACAGCCCUUCUGCUUUAUGAGCUGACCCAGCGAGCCACCUACGAGACCAACACAGUUCCAUGAAGAUGUUGACCCACGGACCUUCCUUCACAGCGCCAUACAGAGGGACGAUUCUGGUUCUCACCCAGACCCAAGGGGGCCAGAGGAGACACUCGGAAACACAAGGUGAUUUAGAAGUCUGUGCCAGCUCCAGGGAGAGCAAGCAGAAUGGGCAGGCCUGAGGGAGGUGGAUGGAGAGAGAGCACACGGCUUUCUAGCCCAGGUCAGCUGCCCGGCCGGCCCAUCUCUCCUCCCUGGACCUCAAUGUCCUCAUCUGUUAAAGGGGCUGGACUAUGAUGAGGGUGUUCUUGAAAACGAAUAUUCGCUGCCCAC